GACAUGAUGGCUCAGUGGAUAGAGCGCCUGCUUCAUGAACGGGAGGUCUUGGGUUCGAACCCUGGCCGAGUCA
rfam:Strongylocentrotus purpuratus Contig62219_fixed, whole genome shotgun sequence.